AGCGUCACAAUUUCCGUGAAAACCAGAGGGGAGAAUGGAAGAAUGUUAGCGAUGUAGUACCCGAACCAGAGUUGAUGAUAUAGUGUUGAAUGAAUUUCUACAUCCAUUUGGUAACCACAGUGAGAGGGAUGGGUUGUGCUAUCAUCAUAUGAAGAACCAUACCAGGAAGUGCAGAUUUCUUCCUCAUGGCCACAUGAAAGUUGACUGUUAAAACUAGUUUCUGGAUAAUAACUCAAGUACUUUGCAUUCUAUUCAAACCAAAUUUGGACAUAUGGAUACAUACAAAGAAAAA